rnacentral:tRNA from 1 species
AGGCCAGUAGCUCAAUUGGCAGAGCACCGCUCUCCAAAAGCGGGGGUUGCGGGUUCAAUUCCUGCCUGGCCUGCCU